rnacentral:rRNA from 1 species
GCAGUCGAACGAUGAAGCCCAGCUUGCUGGGUGGAUUAGUGGCGAACGGGUGAGUAACACGUGGGUGAUCUGCCCUGCACUUCGGGAUAAGCCUGGGAAACUGGGUCUAAUACCGGAUAUGACCAAGGACUGCAUGGUUUUUGGUGGAAAGGUUUACUGGUGCAGGAUGAGCCCGCGGCCUAUCAGCUUGUUGGUGGGGUAAUGGCCUACCAAGGCGACGACGGGUAGCCGGCCUGAGAGGGCGACCGGCCACACUGGGACUGAGACACGGCCCAGACUCCUACGGGAGGCAGCAGUGGGGAAUAUUGCACAAUGGGCGAAAGCCUGAUGCAGCGACGCCGCGUGAGGGAUGACGGCCUUCGGGUUGUAAACCUCUUUCAGCAGGGACGAAGCGCAAGUGACGGUACCUGCAGAAGAAGCACCGGCCAACUACGUGCCAGCAGCCGCGGUAAUACGUAGGGUGCGAGCGUUGUCCGGAAUUACUGGGCGUAAAGAGCUCGUAGGCGGUUUGUCGCGUCGUCUGUGAAAACCCGCAGCUCAACUGCGGGCUUGCAGGCGAUACGGGCAGACUUGAGUACUGCAGGGGAGACUGGAAUUCCUGGUGUAGCGGUGAAAUGCGCAGAUAUCAGGAGGAACACCGGUGGCGAAGGCGGGUCUCUGGGCAGUAACUGACGCUGAGGAGCGAAAGCGUGGGUAGCGAACAGGAUUAGAUACCCUGGUAGUCCACGCCGUAAACGGUGGGCGCUAGGUGUGGGUUUCCUUCCACGGGAUCCGUGCCGUAGCUAACGCAUUAAGCGCCCCGCCUG